rnacentral:rRNA from 1 species
CCUACGGGGUGCAGCAGUGGGGGAUAUUGCACAAUGGGGGAAACCCUGAUGCAGCGACGCCGCGUGUGGGAAGACGGUCCUCUGGAUUGUAAACCACUGUCCCCAGGGACGAAGAUGACGCUACCUGGGGAUGCAGCUCCGGCUACCUACGUGCCAGCAGCCUCGGUACUACGUAGGGAGCGAGCGUUGUCCGGCAUUACUGGGUGUAAAGGGAGCGUAGGCGGGGAUGAAAGUUGGGUGUCAAACCUACCGGCUCAACUGGUAGUCGCACUCAAAACUGCAGCUCUUGAGUGAAGUAGAGGCAGGCGGAAUUCCUAGUGUAGCGGUGAAAUGCGUAGAUAUUAGGAGGAACCCCAGUGGCGAAGGCGGCCUGCUGGGCUUUGACUGACGCUGAGGCUCGAAAGUGUGGGGAGCAAACAGGAUUAGACACCCCAGUAGUC